UAACAUGACCAGGUCUAGGAUGCUCAAAAAUAAUGUUUUACAGCUUUUGCGUGCUCAGAACACACACAAUACAACAUUAGGAAAAGUUGUAUUAUGGAUGCAAAAGAAGGGUGUUUUGUGGCGCCACAUGAAUUGUCAAAAGUGCCGAAGGUCCAUGAAACUUUAAUGAACCACCAAGAUGGAUUUCAGUGGAUCUGCAAGGAUCGUUCUUGUCGAGGGAUGGCCUCUGUUCGUAAGGGGACAAUUUUCCGCAGAUCGCGCCGAUCUUUACAGAAUCAUUUAGAAUUCAUAUACAGGUUCUCACAAGGACUGAUAAUGAGACAGGUUGACCUUAUGGAUGAUGGCGUGGCAGCAAGCAGCAGGACUCUAACAAGAAUGGCUGCCACCUUAAGAAAGGUCUGUGUGCGAGCAGUAAACAAACUCAAACGUUGUGGAAAAAUGAGGGUUGGUGGUCGUCGUUUUGUUAUGCUUGAUGAAAGCAAUUUCUCACAUAAGAGAAAGCAUAAUUGUGGACGGGUUGGUCCAUCCUGGCACCGCACCAAAAAAUGGGUUUUUGGUAUUCUGGAGGUUGAACAGAAGACCCGAAGGCCUCUUCUGAAGAUUGUACGAGGACGGUCACAAAAUGAUCUGUUGCCAAUCAUUCAGCGUCAUAUUAGAAGAGGCUCGGUUAUCAUCUCUGAUGAGUGGAGAGCGUACUACAGGGUAUUAACAGAGUUGGGCUUCAGACAUUACACAGUAUGUCACAAAAUAAAUUUUGUUGAUCCAACUACCAGAGCCCACACUCAGAAUUUAGAAUGUGCAUGGCAGACCUUUAAAAUGGAUGUUUGGCGGCAUCGUGGCAAUCGUUCAUCAAAACCUUUAAAACAACACCUGAAAGU